rnacentral:lncRNA from 1 species
GGCAUAGUCUCUGAAUUUUUCCUCUGUUGGGUACCUCCUAGUCAUUUUGGUUGAGGGAUGUAUAGCUGAAUAUAUCAACCAUGAUCCAGGCAAGGUGCAGCCUGUAAUGCUUUGGAGCAAUCAGAAUUCACCACCAAAAAGAAAGAAAGAAGAAAAAGAGAGAGAGAGAGAGAGAAGACCUAGCCAGAAUGAUCCACCAAAAGGAACAAAGAAACACCUUUAAAGAGCUAACAAAUCCCAAGAAUAGGAAACCCUGCAAGACAAAUGAAUUCAUCUUCAAUAAAAAAUUGCAAAGAGGAACAGAGGAAAGCGGUCCCAUUGAUUGAAAGAGACUUAAAAUGCACAUCAAAAAUGACAAGUUUUUUUCAAUUGUUAAAAGUAUAAAAAAUUAUGAAACAAGGAUAUGAACAUGGA